UGGGGAAUAUUGCACAAUGGAGGGAACUCUGAUGCAGCAACGCCGCGUGCGGGAUGACGGCCUUCGGGUUGUAAACCGCUUUCAGCCAUGACGAAGCUUUUGUGACGGUAGUGGUAGAAGAAGCACCGGCUAACUACGGGCCAGCAGCCGCGGUGAUACGUAGGGUGCGAGCGUUGUCCGGAAUUAUUGGGCGUAAAGAGCUUGUAGGCGGUUUGUCGCGUCGAUAGUGUAAACACGCAGCUUAACUGUGUGCCUGCUGUCGAUACGGGCUGACUAGAGGAGGGUAGGGGAGAAUGGAAUUCCCGGUGGAGCGGUGGAAUGCGCAGAUAUCGGGAGGAACACCAGUGGCGAAGGCGGUUCUCUGGACCUUUCCUGACGCUGAGAAGCGAAAGCGUGGGUAGCAAACAGG
rnacentral:rRNA from 1 species